rnacentral:rRNA from 1 species
CCUACGGGUGGCUGCAGUAAGGAAUAUUGCUCAAUGGGGGAAACUCUGAAGCAGCAACGCCGCGUGGAGGAUGACUGUUUUAUGAUUGGAAACUCCUUUUGUUAGGGGAGUUUAUGACUGUAUCUAACGAAUAAGGACCGUCUAACUCCGUGCCAGCAGCCGCGGUAAUACGGAGGGUGCAAGCGUUACUCGGAAUCACUGGGCGUAAAGAGUGCGUAGGCGGGGUAAUAAGUCAGAUGUGAAAUCCUGUAGCUUAACUACAGAAUUGCAUUUGAAACUGUCAGUCUGGAGUGUGGGAGAGGUAGGCGGAAUUCGUGGUGUAGGGGUAAAAUCCGUAGAGAUCAAGAAGAAUACUCAUUGCGAAGGCGACCUGCUGGAACAUUACUGACGCUGAGGCACGAAAGUGUGGGGAGCAAACAGGAUUAGAUACCCGAGUAGUC